rnacentral:lncRNA from 1 species
CAAUUUCAAUGAAUAUACAAUAACUUCUUCCAACCCGAACAAUAUUUAAGUUAACCUUUAUAAAUUUACAAUGUUUAAACUGGUACUGUUGCCUUGUUCAUGUUCAUGAUUGUUUUUUUUUGUACAUUAAAUUUUCAGGUUCGUUCGCGCCCAAUACACUUUCGCACCCUACACGUUCGCACCUCGCACGUUCGUACUCUACACGUUCGCGCCCA